rnacentral:lncRNA from 1 species
CUUUAAAACUAGGUAGACCGAGACUCUCUCUGCGUCUCUGUCUGUCUGUCUGUCUGUCUCUGUCUCUCCUGUCUCUCUCUCUCUCUGUCUCUGUCUCUCUCUCUCUGUCUCUGUCUCUGUUUCUCUCUCUGUGUCUCUGUGUCUCUGUCUGUCUGUCUGUCUCUGUCUCUCCUGUCUCUCUCUCUCUCUGUCUCUGUCUCUCUCUCUCUGUCUCUGUCUCUGUUUCUCUCUCUGUGUCUCUGUGUCUCUGUCUGUCUGUCUGUCUCUGUCUCUCCUGUCUCUCUCUCUCUGUCUCUGUCUCUCUCUCUCUCUCUCUCUCUCUCUGUCUCUGUUUCUCUCUCUGUGUCUCUGUCUCUCUGUCUCUGUCUCUGUUUCUCUCUCUGUGUCUCUGUGUCUCUAUCUGUCUCUCUUCUCUCUCCUUGUCUAUCUCUGUCUCUCUGUCUGUCUGUCUCCCUCUCUGUCUCUGUCCAUCCUCUAUCUCUCUCUGCCUCUCUUCUCUCUCCUUGUCUGUCUCUGUCUCUGUCUCUGUCUCUCUCCCUCUGCCUGUCUCUCUCUGUCUCUCUGUCUCUGUCUCUCUCCCUCUGACUGUUUCUCUCUGUCUCCCUCUCUGUCUGUCUCUGUCCAUCCUCUGUCUCUCUCCCUCUGCCUGUCUCUCCCUGUCUGUCUCUGUCUCUCUCCCUCUGUCUGUCUCUCUCUGUCUCCCUCUCUGUCUCUGUCCAUCCUCUAUCUCUCUCUGUCUCUGUCUCUCCCUAUCUGUCUCUGUCUCUCUCUCUGUUUCUGUCUCUCUCUGUGUGUGUCUCUCUCUCUCUGUCUCUCUCCAUCUCUCUCUCUCUCUCUAUCUCUAUCUCUGUCUCUCUCCCUCUGCCUGUCUCUCUCUGCCUCUCUUCUCUCUCCCUGUCUGUCUCUGUCUCUGUCUCUGCCUGUCUCUCCCUGUCUGUCUCUCUCUCUCUCCCUCUGCCUGUCUCUCUCUGUCUCCCCCUGUCUCUGUCCAUCCUCUGUCUCUCUCUGCCUCUCUUCUCUCCCUGUCUGUCUCUCUCUCUCUCCCUCUGCCUGUCUCUGUCUCUCUCUGUCUCCCCCUGUCUCUGUCUGUCUGUCUCUGUCUCUCUCUCUGUCUCUGUCUCUGUCUCUGUCUCUGUCUCUGUCUCUGUCUCUGCCUGUCUCUCCUCCUGCAUCCAGAGGGUGCAGAUCUCAGCUCACUGAAGCAUGGACGCCAUGCACUAAACCAGGGAGAGGGGAAGGACUCACUUCCUUGCUCGGAGAUGUUUUGUUUCUGGGUCACGUCCCUUGUCCUUCUCCGUUUCAGGUGCCU